AUACGUAGGGGGCGAGCGUUGUCCGGAAUGAUUGGGCGUAAAGGGCGCGUAGGCGGCGCGGUAAGUCUGGAGUGAAAGUCCUGCUUUCAAGGUGGGAAUUGCUUUGGAUACUGCCGCGCUUGAGUGCAGGAGAGGUUAUCGGAAUUCCCGGUGUAGCGGUGAAAUGCGUAGAGAUCGGGAGGAACACCAGUGGCGAAGGCGGGUAACUGGACUGCAACUGACGCUGAGGCGCGAUAGUGUGGGGAGCAAACAGGAUUAGAUACCCUGGUAUUCCACGCUGUAAACGAUGAAUGCUAGGUGUAGGGGGUAUCGACCCCUUCUGUGCCGCAGUCAACACAAUAAGCAUUCCGCCUGGGGAGUACGGCCGCAAGGUUGAAACUCAAAUGAAUUGACGGGG
rnacentral:rRNA from 1 species